rnacentral:rRNA from 1 species
AGCGAACGCUGGCGGCAGGCUUAACACAUGCAAGUCGAACGGGUGUAGCAAUACAUCAGUGGCAGACGGGUGAGUAACACGUGGGAACCUUCCUAGGGGUACGGAACAACUCAGGGAAACUUGAGCUAAUACCGUAUACGUCCGUGAGGAGAAAGAUUUAUCGCCCUUAGACGGGCCCGCGUCGGAUUAGGUAGUUGGUGGGGUAACGGCCUACCAAGCCGACGAUCCGUAGCUGAUCUGAGAGGAUGAUCAGCCACACUGGGACUGAGACACGGCCCAGACUCCUACGGGAGGCAGCAGUGGGGAAUCUUGGACAAUGGGCGCAAGCCUGAUCCAGCCAUGCCGCGUGAGUGAAGAAGGCCUUAGGGUUGUAAAGCUCUUUUGGCAGGGACGAUAAUGACGGUACCUGCAGAAUAAGCCCCGGCAAACUUCGUGCCAGCCGCCGCCGUAAUAC